rnacentral:rRNA from 1 species
UACGUAGGGGGGCGAGCGUUGUUCGGAUUUACUGGGCGUAAAGAGCGCGCAGGCGGUCGAUCAAGUCGAGUGUGAAAGCCCCCGGCUCAACUGGGGAGGGUCAUUCGAUACUGAUCGACUCGAAGGCAGGAGAGGGUAGUGGAAUUCCCGGUGUAGUGGUGAAAUGCGUAGAUAUCGGGAGGAACACCAGUGGCGAAGGCGACUACCUGGCCUGUUCUUGACGCUGAGGCGCGAAAGCUAGGGGAGCAAACGGGG